UACGAAGGGGGCUAGCGUUGUUCGGAAUCACUGGGCGUAAAGCGCACGUAGGCGGAUCUUUAAGUCAGAGGUGAAAUCCCAAGGCUCAACCUUGGAACUGCCUUUGAUACUGGGGAUCUUGAGUCCGGGAGAGGUGAGUGGAACUGCGAGUGUAGAGGUGAAAUUCGUAGAUAUUCGCAAGAACACCAGUGGCGAAGGCGGCUUACUGGUCCGGAUCUGACGCUGAGGCGCGAAAGCGUGGGGAGCAAACAGG
rnacentral:rRNA from 1 species